rnacentral:rRNA from 1 species
UGAGUUUGAUUAUGGCUCAGGAUGAACGCUAGCGGCAGGCCUAACACAUGCAAGUCGAACGGUAACAGGGAAAAGCUUGCUUUUCCGCUGACGAGUGGCGCACGGGUGCGUAACGCGUAUACAAUCUGCCUCUUACCGGGGGAUAGCCUUUGGAAACGAAGAAUAAUACCCCAUGGUAUCCAUUUAUCGCGUGGUAAUUGGAUUAAAGUUUCGGCGGUAAGAGAUGAGUAUGCGUUCUAUUAGCUAGAUGGUGUGGUAACGGCACACCAUGGCAACGAUAGAUAGGGGCCCUGAGAGGGGGAUCCCCCACACUGGUACUGAGACACGGACCAGACUCCUACGGGAGGCAGCAGUGAGGAAUAUUGGACAAUGGGCGAAAGCCUGAUCCAGCCAUGCCGCGUGCAGGAAGACUGCCCUAUGGGUUGUAAACUGCUUUUGUACGGGAAGAAACCCACCUACGUGUAGGUGGCUGACGGUACCGUAAGAAUAAGCAUCGGCUAACUCCGUGCCAGCAGCCGCGGUAAUACGGAGGAUGCAAGCGUUAUCCGGAAUCAUUGGGUUUAAAGGGUCCGUAGGUGGAUCGGUCAGUC